GCUUGUCUCAAAGAUUAAGCCAUGCAUGUCUAAGUAUAAACGACUUUAUACAGUGAAACUGCGAAUGGCUCAUUAAAUCAGUUAUAGUUUAUUUGAUAAUACCUUACUACUUGGAUAACCGUGGUAAUUCUAGAGCUAAUACAUGCUACACAACCCGACUUCUGGAAGGGUGGUACUGAUUAGAUACAAAACCAAUCCGGGCAACCGGUAUUGUGGUGAAUCAUAAUAACUCCUCGAAUCGCAUGGCCUUGCGCCGGCGAUGUUUCAUUCAAAUUUCUGCCCUAUCAAUUUGAUGGUAGGAUAGAGGCCUACCAUGGUGGUAACGGGUGACGGAGAAUUAGGGUUCGAUUCCGGAGAGGGAGCCUGAGAAACGGCUACCACAUCCAAGGAAGGCAGCAGG
rnacentral:rRNA from 1 species